rnacentral:rRNA from 1 species
UACGUAGGGCGCAAGCGUUGUCCGGAAUUAUUGGGCGUAAAGAGCUCGUAGGCGGUCUGUUACGUCCGCUGUGAAAACCCGGGGCUUAACCCUGGGCUUGCAGUGGAUACGGGCAGACUAGAGGCAGGUAGGGGAGAAUGGAAUUCCCGGUGUAGCGGUGAAAUGCGCAGAUAUCGGGAGGAACACCGGUGGCGAAGGCGACGUGCUGGGUUGCACCUGACGCUGAGAUGCGAAAGUGUGGGGAGCAAACGGG